rnacentral:tRNA from 1 species
CGAGACGUAGCUUUAACAAAAGCAUUCAGCUUACACCUGAAAGAUACCUAUUAAAUUGGGUCGUCUUGA